AAACCCCCUACGCAUUUAUAUAGAGGAGAUAAGUCGUAACAUGGUAAGUGUACUGGAAAGUGCACUUGGACGAAC
rnacentral:rRNA from 1 species